GCCGGGCCGGCCGGAGCCCCGCGCUGGCCGCUCACCUGGGCGGAUUUCCUGCAGGGUCCGGACUGCAGGAACCGGGCGAUCAGAUAUCCCGGCCCGAGGCAGCGGCCGAGCAGGGUGUAGCGCUGCCGCCCGCCGCUAGGGGGCGGCCGCCCAGGCAGGUGAACGUCCAAGCGGAAGGAAGGACGGACGGACUCGGGGGACGUGCUGGGACAGCGGCACGACGCUCUGAACUGCUUAGGGGCCCCAGCCAUCCACUGUGCUAGAUGCUGUACAAAGACAGAACAAAGAGAUGGUCCCUGCCCCGAUAAGGUUGCAAUCCAAGUAUAAGAACAGAGACAAAAGGGGAUUGGAACAGCAGUUGGCAGAAAGACCACAGUGGCAUGGCGCUCUCAUGAAAUGUGAGGGGCUCCUGGAUAGACAAUAGGCCUCCAUGGAUGUCCCAAGAUCUGUGGAAUAUCCCCAUGGGUCUUGAGCUACCUGCAAGUUUCAAGGUCCACAGCCUGAGAAGCUCCAUGGGAGGCAACACCACCAAUGGGACAUUUGAAAGAAACUCCAUCAUUUUCAACUCCUGGACACACAUUUCUUCUUUCACCAGGUUUACACGGAUAUAACUCUGUUAACUACAUAGGAGCUACUUUUGAUUUGAGUAGAGAAUCGCGCUAAUCUAAUUUCCUCAUUCCUAUGCAGUCUUUUCCCACAAAGGGGACAAUAUGGCCCUAAGAAUGUAGCAACUCCCAAAAGCAUUCCUUGUUUUCUGCCUUUUUUUAAUCAAUUAGUUC